GUUUAACUGACGAGUCUAAAAGAGAACGAAACGCACGUUCUGGAU
rnacentral:hammerhead_ribozyme from 1 species